rnacentral:rRNA from 1 species
ACGGUACCGUAAGAAUAAGCACCGGCUAACUACGUGCCAGCAGCCGCGGUAAUACGUAGGGUGCGAGCGUUAAUCGGAAUUACUGGGCGUAAAGCGUGCGCAGGCGGUUAUGCAAGACAGAUGUGAAAUCCCCGGGCUCAACCUGGGAACUGCAUUAGUGACUGCAUAGCUAGAGUGCGGCAGAGGGGGAUGGAAUUCCGCGUGUAGCAGUGAAAUGCGUAGAUAUGCGGAGGAACACCGAUGGCGAAGGCAAUCCCCUGGGCCUGCACUGACGCUCAUGCACGAAAGCGUGGGGAGCAAACAGGAUUAGAUACCCUGGUAGUCCACGCCCUAAACGAUGUCAACUGGUUGUUGGGGAUUUACUUCCUCAGUAACGAAGCUAACGCGUGAAGUUGACCGCCUGGGGAGUACGGCCGCAAGGUUAAAACUCAAAGGAAUUGACGGGGACCCGCACAAGCGGUGGAUGAUGUGGUUUAAUUCGAUGCAACGCGAAAAACCUUACCCACCUUUGACAUGUACGGAAGAUCGCAGAGACGCGAUUGUGCUCGAAAG